UGGGGAAUAUUGGACAAUGGGGGCAACCCUGAUCCAGCCAUGCCGCGUGUGUGAAGAAGGCCUUCGGGUUGUAAAGCACUUUAAGCAGGGAGGAAGGCCAUAAGGUUAAUACCCUUGUGGAUUGACGUUACCUGCAGAAUAAGCACCGGCUAACUCCGUGCCAGCAGCCGCGGUAAUACGGAGGGUGCAAGCGUUAAUCGGAAUUACUGGGCGUAAAGCGCGCGUAGGCGGUUAUUUAAGCUGGAUGUGAAAGCCCCGGGCUCAACCUGGGAACUGCAUUCAGAACUGGAUGGCUAGAGUACGAGAGAGGGUAGUGGAAUUUCCUGUGUAGCGGUGAAAUGCGUAGAUAUAGGAAGGAACAUCAGUGGCGAAGGCGACUGCCUGGCUCGAUACUGACGCUGAGGUGCGAAAGCGUGGGGAGCAAACAGGGAUUAGAUACCCUGGGUAGUCCACGCCGUAAACGAUGUCUACUAGUCGUAGGGUUCCUUGAGGAC
rnacentral:rRNA from 1 species